rnacentral:rRNA from 1 species
AACGAACGCUGGCGGCAUGCCUAACACAUGCAAGUCGAACGAGACCUUCGGGUCUAGUGGCGCACGGGUGCGUAACGCGUGGGAACCUGCCCUUAGGUUCGGAAUAACUCCCCGAAAGGGGUGCUAAUACCGGAUAAUGUCUUCGGACCAAAGAUUUAUCGCCUUUGGAUGGGCCCGCGUUGGAUUAGCUAGUUGGUAGGGUAAAAGCCUACCAAGGCGACGAUCCAUAGCUGGUCUGAGAGGAUGAUCAGCCACACUGGGACUGAGACACGGCCCAGACUCCUACGGGAGGCAGCAGUGGGGAAUAUUGGACAAUGGGCGAAAGCCUGAUCCAGCAAUGCCGCGUGAGUGAUGAAGGCCUUAGGGUUGUAAAGCUCUUUUACCCGGGAGGAUAAUGACAGUACCGGGAGAAUAAGCUCCGGCUAACUCCGU